GUCAGGUAGCGCCCCCUGGCAAUGCGGUCUAAUAACUCGUCUACCCGGGGCAUAGGGUAGGCGUCAGUGGUGGUCCGUUCGUUGAGCCGCCUGUAGUCCACGCAGAACCUGGUGGUCCCAUCUUUCUUAGGCACCAGAACUACAGGCGAGGCCCAAGGGCUGUCCGAAUGUUCGAUAACCCCUAGCCUGGUCAUCUCCUGUAUUUCCUUCCGCAUUCCUUCUCGGACUGCUUCAGGAGUACGGUAUGGGGGUUGUCGUAGGGGGUUCUGUCCGGGUGUCUCGACCUUGUGUACAGCUAGGGUAGUGUACCCGGGUUCUUGGGAGAACGUCGCCUGCUUCUCCCACAGUAACUGUCUCGCCUGUACCUUCUCUGCCGGGUUUAGCCGGUCCCCUAGCUGUACAAGACUAGUAAGGUCUGUCUGGGGGUCCCUCUCUAGCAAGUCAGGUAACGGUAAGUUCUCG